GAUGAACGCUGGCGGCGUGCCUAAUACAUGCAAGUCGAGCGAACAGACGAGGAGCUUGCUCCUCUGACGUUAGCGGCGGACGGGUGAGUAACACGUGGAUAACCUACCUAUAAGACUGGGAUAACUUCGGGAAACCGGAGCUAAUACCGGAUAAUAUAUUGAACCGCAUGGUUCAAUAGUGAAAGACGGUUUUGCUGUCACUUAUAGAUGGAUCCGCGCCGCAUUAGCUAGUUGGUAAGGUAACGGCUUACCAAGGCAACGAUGCGUAGCCGACCUGAGAGGGUGAUCGGCCACACUGGAACUGAGACACGGUCCAGACUCCUACGGGAGGCAGCAGUAGGGAAUCUUCCGCAAUGGGCGGAAGCCUGACGGAGCAACGCCGCGUGAGUGAUGAAGGUCUUCUGAUCGUAAAACUCUGUUAUUAGGGAAGAACAAAUGUGUAAGUAACUAUGCACGUCUUGACGGUACCUAAUCAGAAAGCCACGGCUAACUACGUG
rnacentral:rRNA from 1 species